UUACAGCCAUAUCAUGUUGAAACACCGGUCCCCUAUACGAUUACCGAAAUUAAGCAACGUCGAACCUGGUCAAUACCUAGAUGGGUGACCGCUUGGGAAUACCAUGUUCUGUAAG